UAGCAUAUCAAUAAGCGGAGGAAAAGAAACCAACAGGGAUUGCCUUAGUAACGGCGAGUGAAGCGGCAAUAGCUCAAAUUUGAAAUCUGGCGCUUGCGUCCGAGUUGUAAUUUGUAGAGGAUGAUUUUGGUUAGGUACCUUUCGAGUUCCUUGGAACAGGACGCCUUAGAGGGUGAGAGCCCCGUACGAUUGGAUGCCGAGCCUCUGUAAAUCUCCUUCGACGAGUCGAGUAGUUUGGGAAUGCUGCUCUAAAUGGGAGGUAAAUUUCUUCUAAAGCUAAAUACCGGCCAGAGACCGAUAGCGCACAAGUAGAGUGAUCGAAAGAUGAAAAGCACUUUGAAAAGAGGGUUAAAUAGCACGUGAAAUUGUUGAAAGGGAAGGAUUUAUGACCAGACUUUUUCUAGGAGAAUCAUCCGGUGUUCUCACCGGUGCACUUCUUUUAGUUUAGGCCAGCAUCGACUUUCGGCGGUGGAUAAAAGCUUUAGGAAUGUGGCUUCCCUCGGGAAGUGUUAUAGCCUAUUGUAUAAUACACUGCUGGGGGUCGAGGUACGCGCUUCUGCAAGGAUGCUGGCGUAAUGGUUAUCAAUCACCCGUCUUGAAACACGGACCAAGGAGUCGAACAUUUGUGCGAGUGUUUGGGUGUUAAACCCUCACGCGUAAUGAAAGUGAACGGAGGUGAGAGCCCUUACGGGUGCAUCAUCGACCGAUCCUGAUGUUUUCGGAUGGAUUUGAGUAAGAGCAUAAAUGUUCGGACCCGAAAGAUGGUGAACUAUGCGUGGAUAGGGUGAAGCCAGAGGAAACUCUGGUGGAGGCUCGCAGCGGUUCUGACGUGCAAAUCGAUCGUCAAAUCUGCGCAUGGGGGCGAAAGACUAAUCGAACCAUCUAGUAGCUGGUUACCGCAA
rnacentral:rRNA from 1 species